rnacentral:rRNA from 1 species
UACGGAGGGAGCUAGCGUUGUUCGGAAUUACUGGGCGUAAAGCGCACGUAGGCGGCUUUGUAAGUUAGAGGUGAAAGCCCGGGGCUCAACUCCGGAAUUGCCUUUAAGACUGCAUCGCUUGAAUCCGGGAGAGGUGAGUGGAAUUCCGAGUGUGAGAGGUGAAAUUCGUAGAUAUUCGGAAGAACACCAGUAGGCGAAGGCGGCUGCA